rnacentral:rRNA from 1 species
CUGGCUCAGGAUGAACGCUGGCGGCGUGCCUAACACAUGCAAGUCGAACGGAUUUUCUCGCUGACGAGACUUCGGUCAAAUCUUGAGGAAAGUUAGUGGCGGACGGGUGAGUAACGCGUGGGCAACCUGCCUCAUACUGGGGGAUAACAGUUGGAAACGACUGUUAAUACCGCAUAAGCGCACGGUGUCGCAUGACACAGUGUGAAAAACUCCGGUGGUAUGAGAUGGGCCCGCGUCAGAUUAGCUAGUUGGUGAGGUAAAGGCCCACCAAGGCGACGAUCGGUAGCCGGACUGAGAGGUCGGACGGCCACAUUGGGACUGAGACACGGCCCAAACUCCUACGGGAGGCAGCAGUGGGGGAUAUUGCACAAUGGAGGAAACUCUGAUGCAGCGACGCCGCGUGAGUGAAGAAGUAUUUCGGUAUGUAAAGCUCUAUCAGCAGGGAAGAAAGGCUCUUCGGAGAGAUGACGGUACCUGACUAAGAAGCCCCGGCUAACUACGUGCCAGCCGCGGC